rnacentral:tRNA from 1 species
UCUCUCGUAGCUUAGUGGUCAGAGCAUUGGCGCGUAAAUCCAAAGAGUCCGGGUUCGAUUCCCGGCGGGGGUG